AUCAGUUCAAACCCUAGAAAAUUGGGGAUUUUUCCAAUAUCAAAGGAUUGACCAAUCUUUCAGUCACAGGUUAGAAUCCAUCCUAUCAUUCAACUCAAUUGUGUUAUCCUUUUCCUUUAUUACAUUCAUUAGUAUUAGCUUGGCAACAAGGUCAAUAGAACCUGUUAACAAAUAUUUAAUAACCAUUAGAAGCUUUCAUCCACUGCUUCUGGGAAAUGCCUCCCCGAGUUGUUUAUUGCGAACUAUGUAUAGGCAUAUGUUGAAAAUUUUGGAGCGGAGCAAGGGAUGUGGAGGUGGAUCUUAUUUGGGAUAGGCUUCGUUUUUGGGAUUCCCUUUGGCCGUUGGUAUCUUCAGAAGUUAAGGAUUGUUCCUUUCAAGCAGCUCCUCUCCUCCUUCUGUGACGACGAGACGAUGCCGGCGACCACAUCUCCUCUCCUCUCAAGUUUUCAUAGUUAUGAUUUCCCUUUCUCACUCUCAUCUGGAUCUCUAUGGCUGGCUUUCUCUCAACCUCUCUGUGGCUGGCUUUCUCUCAACCUCUCUGUGGCAGGACUUCCCAACCCAUUGAACAUGAAACUUCACUGCAAUCAAUGGUACCAUGCAUAUGAAGAGUCCUAAUUUACACGACUUCUAUAUCUUCUACAUGGGAAAGGGACUUACUCUUCUUCUUGUGCUUCUUAAUUUCAAAUUGGUUUUGAUUAUGUUUUUCAGUUAGGUAUUGUUUUGAUUUUGAUUUUGGAUUUGCAGGUAUUCCAACUAGCGGCCCAUCCACCCUUCCCAGCAUCUGAUAAGGGUUGGGGUAAAGAAUUAGGCCAAGUACAAGACUAAUAUACUAUUUUGGAGUCUAUUUAUUUGGCUACUUGAAUUUGUAAUAUUUUCAUUGUAUCUGGAGAUUGUAUUUUUUUUUU